GAAACUAACUAGGAUUCCGUCAG
rnacentral:misc_RNA from 1 species